GGAAGUAAAAGUCGUAACAAAGUUUCCGUAGGUGAACCUGCGGAAGGAUCAUUAAUGAGUUGUCAUGGGGUUCGAUGCUGGCAGCCAAUUUUUGGAUGCAUGUGCUUGCCCUAACAAUCAUCUUCCAAACACCUGUGCACAUUUUUGAGGGAGUCUUGAGUUGGUUGCCGCUCUUGGGUGAUUUUCUCACAUUCCCUUAAAUCAUUAUACGCUAUUAACAAUGUUGAACGUGCUCUGUGCCGCAAGGCUAUUAAUAUAAUACAACUUUUAACAACGGAUCUCUUGGCUCUC
rnacentral:misc_RNA from 1 species